UACGUAGGGGGCAAGCGUUGUCCGGAAUCAUUGGGCGUAAAGAGCGCGUAGGCGGUCCAUCGCGUCGGGAGUGAAAAGCUGGGGCUCAACCCCAGUCCUGCUUCCGAUACGGGUGGACUAGAGGUAUGCAGGGGGAGAACGGAAUUCCUGGUGUAGCGGUGAAAUGCGCAGAUAUCAGGAGGAACACCGGUGGCGAAGGCGGUUCUCUGGGCAUUACCUGACGCUGAGGAGCGAAAGCGUGGGGAGCAAACAGG
rnacentral:rRNA from 1 species